rnacentral:rRNA from 1 species
CCUACGGGAGGCAGCAGUGGGGAAUAUUGGGCAAUGGAGGCAACUCUGACCCAGCAACGCCGCGUGAAUGAUGAAGGUCUUCGGAUUGUAAAGUUCUGUGAUGGGGGAUGAACACAAUGACGGUACCCAAAUAGCAAGCCACGGCUAACUACGUGCCAGCAGCCGCGGUAAUACGUAGGUGGCAAGCGUUAUCCGGAAGGACUGGGCGUAAAGGGUGCGGAGGGGGUUUAGUAAGUUGGCGGUGUAAUUCCGGGGCUUAACCUCGGCGCUACCGCCAAAACUAUUAGACUAGAGUGCAGGAGGGGUAAGUGGAAUUCCUAGUGUAGCGGUGGAAUGCGUAGAUAUUAGGAGGAACAUCAGGGGCGAAGGCGACUUACUGGACUGUAACUGACACUGAGGCACGAAAGCGUGGGGAGCAAACAGGAUUAGAUACCCGAGUAGUC